ensembl:lncRNA
GUUGCUGGUGACAGUGAAGUGGAUGACAUGGAUCAUAUGAAUGUAAAAUUCUUGACCACAAAGGAAGUUAGUGAAACAGAAGAUCUAUCACCUUGCUCAGAAACAACAAGCAACCGAAGAUCUUGGGAACCUUCCAUUAGGCCACGACUCAAAUGAGCAGCUGUUCAUGUCUGGAUCUAAAGAGAUGGAUGGAACUGGAUCUGUAUUAAGAGAAAGUGACCUCAAAUCCACUCAUGGCUCAUCCUGUGAAUCAUUAAAGCCUGUCUUUACCAUAGUGCUGGACUAUGAUCUUACCAAACCCAACCAGAACCCACUAACACAAGCUGUCCCGGCUUCUUCAGCUAAAUGGGAUACUGUUUCAGUUUUUCAUGAUAGGACCGCAGAGAUGUCAGAGGAUGGCCUGAAACUUUUGGAAGUCAAACCAAAUGUUGAUUUAGCUGUGGAUGAAGUACAUGAUGCAAUAAGCUCUUCUGAUGAACCUAUACAUUUAUAUGCUGAUCUUUCAAAAUCAAAAGUGCAGGUUAAAGAAACCAGCCACACUGAUAAAAUUGAACCCACUCAUUCUGAUCUAGACCUUGAUUUCAGGCCUAAACCAGAGAAAGACUCAUCUACUCAAGCAUUUGACCCAAUGCUUCAUACCCAGGGAAGCAUCAAGGAAGCUCUGGAACUGCGAAGAAAGUAUUUACCAUCAUCCUGGAUGUUGAUACUCCUGCAUUAUCAUCAGACUGGAAUCAAUCACUGCAAGAGACACGCUGUACAGGUCCUAAAGACUCAACCACAGAUGAAUUCUCUCAUUCAGAUGUAAAAAUCAACAGGCAAUCUCCUCUGGUACUGAGCAACCUGAAGGCCAAAUGGCUGAGCUAGAUUUAUCUGAAGAGGCCAAUGUGAAAUCAAGUAGCUCUGAAAUACAGCCAGGACAGAAGGCAUCAAGGCUUAUCCAACCCCAAACCCCUGAGAUCAAGGAGACUGAAGUUCAAAAAGAUGAUAAAGAGAAGCAACAUGAAGUCACUGAUGCAGAAACAUCAAGCCAAAUGGAUGUUCACACUGGAGAAGGCACUGAGUCAGGGUCUGUAGUUCACCAACACGAUGUCCCAGUGUUGGAGAGCCAUGAUGAGGUUGACAAAAACACCACUGAAGCGGCUUCAAAUAAAGCAAAAUCCCUUCAAAAGCCUCCUAAAGUAGCUAAAGGUAGAAACAAGAACAGAAAACCAGCUGGUGUAAAAAAAGCAAACAAUGUCAGUAAUAAAAAGCACAACGCAUGUAAAUCUGAACAUAAGAACACAACUGACUCAGAAAGCCUUCCAACAUCUGAAGUCAGGUUGCCGGACACCAUAGACACUUCACUGACUGUGUCUUCAGACUUUAGUCAGCCAAACACUGCAAAGCCAUUGGGCACACAAGACAAACUAACAGUGGACACUGUGCAGAAAGAGACCUUGAAUCAAACUGAGACAGUGGAUGGACAUUUUGAAAAUGCUAGCUUCUCACUAGCCGGAGAUGACCAUGUUAGUACCACAGAUAGUGUGCUUUUAGCAGCAGUGGAGUCUGUGCAGUCAACACAUACAGGGGACUCCGAAUUAACCCCAACGGAUUCUUCAUCUAUUGUGACAGCUGACUGUAAAACACGAAUUCUUACCGCAGUCCUAUCAGAGUCACAGCUCGGCCAAGCUGAAGCUCGGAGGACAGAGGAUUCAGAUGGCACUUUCCCUUUGCAAUAUGAAGAAAUGCACAGAUUCAAUUCACAUCCAUCUGCCAGGAAUAAAAUGCCCCAAAACAGAGGAUCAGUACCAGACGGUGAGGAUAAAACGAGGCCUAUGGAGCAGCCUACUGGGACACAUGUGUGGGCCGUUUUACUGAACACCAUCACUAAUGUUCAGCCACUACUGGUGACCAGUCACAGUUCUGAGGAAUCUAGAUCAAGGAAAGAUUCCUUGUUUCAGAAUUCAUCGCUCUUCGAGUCUGAGAGCAGUCUGGCAUGGGCUGUCCUGUGGGUGUUCAGAUGUCGGUACCAACCGGCCAAACUCAGCAUUGCACAUAUGACUCAUCAGCUGGAAGAAGCUGAGGUACAGUACAUUACCUCAUUACACUUUCUCCAAAACCGCCGGCUGUGAACAGCUGCUGACAGUAAAAGAUGCUAAACAAAAAGAGUACUAGUCAUAAAGAUCGAAUAUACCGUUUUCGUUAAAAGCCGGAACAACCCCUCAUUAGUUUCAGCAGAUGUCUGAUUACAAAACAUAUGACUUCAAUUCAGUUCAAGUUUAUUUGUAUAGUGCUUUUCACGAUAUAAAUCGUUGCAAAGCAGCUUUACAGAAAAUUUUAGUUUCUAUUUUAAAGUUCUACAUUAUAUUUAGUAGACUAUGUCAAGUUGAUGUCCAUAUGGCAGAAAUGUACGGUAAAAUUCAUGCACUUAAUGACAUGUAAUCAAACCGACGGUGAGCACUAUUAACUGCAAUGAUUAUAUGUUGUGAUUAAACUUCUAGCAAAAUUUGGUCGUUUUGUAUGUUGCUUGAGGGUCGGCAUCAUCUGAGGUCCUCUGAGGGGCUGGCAUCAUCUCUUCUCAGAUCUUCCUGAGGGUUGGAUCCAGACUGAAGCUUCUGUAAUUCCUAGUGACCUCAGGAUGCCAACCCCGUGUCAGGAACAGAAACGCAAAAAGAGACAUUUAGCAUAGCUGCUGUUCCAAACAAGCAAAAAUGACUUAAAAUAAAGCAGAACUUAUUUCCAGGUCAAAUGUUAUCAAAUUUGUAACUGAUGAUGUCAACUCCUUUGUUUAAAAGGUGAGCUUUUUGCUUCCAUUGGAGCUCGAGAUGAUUCUUAGAGAAGUCAUGCUGGUGAAACAUUAGGUUUUACAUAAACCUCUGGAGUUUAUGCAGCUUGAGUGUCCCUUUAGCAGAAGGGACAAACCAAUACUAAAACAUUAUGAAAUUUAUAUACAGUACAUUCAUGUAUCGUGCACCCAAGUGAAGAUAACUAUAACGAUUUAAAUUGACAGUAAAUGUUAUGAAAUGAUCUGUGUGUCGUAGAUCUGCCGGCAGUAUGUCUUAGAGAAGGUGGCUAGACUGCCUCAAAGUGAAUCUAGUGCAGGAUGCUCUACAAAGCCUGAGCAGACCAUAGAGGGCAGAUGGAAUACAGUACUGAUGGAAACCUCAACUAUGGUGGAGUACAAAAAGACACAGCUCCAGCAGGUCACACAGUACCACCAGCAAAAACAGGCUCUCGCAGAUACUUUACACAACCUGAACAAUGAGCUCAGCGCACUAACACAGUGAGCAUCCUUGACUUCUUCUGUGUGUGUGUCUCUGUGUGUGUGUGUGUUCAGGUAAACCCUACAAAAUUCUUGUCCUUGUAGGGACAGUUUUUGGUCUCCAUGAGGAAAACAGCUUAUCAGUUAUACUAAACGAAGGGUUUUUUUUUUCUACUGAAAGUUUGAUGUGAGGGGUUGGUUUAGGGGUAGGGCAAGGGUAUAGAAAAUACAAUUUAUAGAGUAUAAAAUCGUUACACCCAUGGAAUGUCCCCAUUAAACACAGAAACUCAAUGUGUGUGAGUGUGUCAAUUAAUCUUUACCAUAGGUGAGAUGAUUCUAAAAUGUGUUUACCUUUAUCUGUGCCUUAGUGUUCAUACUUUAAUUGAAAAUAAAUCAAUUUGUAAUAUAAUUAAUAUUCUUCAAAUGUUGAAAAGUAACCAAAUUCUCACAUUUUUUGAAGGGAUUGCAUUGAAAGCAGCACCUUGCAAGUGGAGAAGC